UAAUACGGGGGGGGUAAGCGUUGUUCGGAAUUACUGGGCGUAAAGGGCUCGUAGGCGGCCAACUAAGUCAGACGUGAAAUCCCUCAGCUUAACUGGGGAACUGCGUCUGAUACUGGAUGGGUUGGAUUCGGGAGAGGGAUGCGGAAUUCCAGGUGUAGCGGUGAAAUGCGUAGAUAUCUGGAGGAACACCGGUGGCGAAGGCGGCAUACCUGGACCGACAUUGACGCUGAGGAGCGAAAGCCAGGGGAGCAAACGGGAUUAGAUACCCCGGUAGUCCUGGCCCUAAACGAUGAAUGCUUGGUGUAGCGGGUAUCGAUCCCUGCUGUGCCGAAGCUAACGCAUUAAGCAUUCCGCCUGGGGAGUACGGUCGCAAGGCUGAAACUCAAAGGAUUGACGGGGGCCCGCACAAGCGGUGGAGCAUGUGGUUCAAUUCGACGCAACGCGAAGAACCUUACCCAGGCUUGAACUGCGAGUGACCAACUCCGAAAGGGGUCUUCCGCAAGGACACUCGUAGAGGUGCUGCAUGGCUGUCGUCAGCUCGUGUCGUGAGAUGUUGGGUUAAGUCCCGCAACGAGCGCAACCCUUGUCCUCUGUUGCCAUCACGUUAUGGUGGGCACUCUGAGGAGACUGCCGGUGAUAAACCGGAGGAAGGUGGGGAUGACGUCAAGUCAGCAUGGCCUUUAUGUCUGGGGCUACACACGUGCUACAAUGGCCGGUACAAAGCGUCGCAAACUCGCGAGGGGGAGCUAAUCGCAGAAAGCCGGUCUCAGUUCGGAUUGUAGGCUGCAACUCGCCUGCAUGAAGUCGGAGUCGCUAGUAAUCGCAGAUCAGCAACGCUGCGGUGAAUACGUUCCCGGGGCUUGUACACACCGCCCGUCAAGUCAUGAAAGUCGGUAACACCCGAAGCCGGUGGCCUAACCCGUUUGGGAGGGAGCUGUCGAAGGUGGGACUGGUGAUUAGGACU
rnacentral:rRNA from 1 species